CUUUCCUUAACUAUUGCCUUAAAUUUUUUUUUUAGGGUUCCAGAAGACAGUGAGCAGUGUGAGAGUCUCAUUCCUAUGCACGGUGUUUCUCAGGAGGAUGGAGCUAGUUAGCUGUUGUCUGUAGUCCAGCUUGAUAAUGGAACAUUAUGCAGCGAAGAGACAAUCUCUGGCAAGAUUUUGUAGAAAAUGUUUCAGUGCCUAGUCUGAAAAAUAACAGUUUCAGUUCUUUGGAACUCUAAAAUAUAUUUUCCUCAUAUCUGUUUUCUUCAUUUCAUAAUGAAGUACUUUGCUAUGUAGCUGUGUACAUAUCAUUACAGUUAUAGGAAGUUCCAAUCCAUAGUCCCUCUAAAGGACCAACCUGCCUUACACAUCUCAAGGAAUUCAGCUGAUGAAAUAAUUUGAACUAAUCAAGGAAUAAAAUUCUAUGUUCUGGAGACUUUAUUUUCACAUAUUAUUUGUUAAAUGCUGGACUAUAUUAUGAAAAUGUUUUCAAGAAAUCAUUUAAGUAUAUAGAUCAGUGUUUCUUAACAGAUAAAGUGAUGAAAUAAGCUGCCUAUAAUAGGUACGGAUUAUAUUUUUGAGUUUCGUAGAAUAUUGCAAGUUAAACAGAGAAAAAGUGCUUAAUUUUAUGCGAGUGUGUCCAUGUAAAUUAGUGGGACUUUAAAGAGAAUCCAUAUUUGAGAAACAUCUGGUUCACUGACACUACAUAAACUGUAUUAUCCUUUCCUAGCAUUAGGUGCCUUGUAUUUUAAAUCUGUGACAAACUAUGACAAAUUUUUUAAAGGGGAAGCAUUAUUGUAAAAUGAAUUAUGUAUUUCUAAAGGCUCUAUUGCUGUAAAUUUAAUGGAUAAAGCUCUGCUUAAUUUAGAGUUUUGAAGAAAUAUUCUCUCUUCAAUUAAGACAUUUUCAUAAUGGAAUGAUUUAAAUUGAAGUGAUAAAGAGUAUUAUUAAAAUAAAACGUUUAUAUAUAUGUAUUUGUGUAUGACAGAUCUAUUAACUGGUUUCUGAUUUUUUUUUUUCAUAUAUCAGUGUGCCCAAUUACUCCAGAACUGGAUGCCUCUAGUUUUCCUAAGUAAAUGUUUAAUGGCCAAAAUACCAAAGAAGGCAAAAAGAGAUUCUACUUUAAAAUUUUCAUUUGAAUUUUUCCUCUACCAAGCUUAAAUUAAAUAUACUCUUAAUUACAAUUCUUAAACUUAGGUUCUAUGUGUACUUCCGGUGCAACUGCUCCUGUUCACUGUAGAACGUCAGUGGAUGAACAUGUCUCAGGAUUCAUCUAAACUUUUGAUGAAUCACCCAUUUCCUUUUCAGCUUGUAUGAGAAUAGUUCGUUUCUCUUGAAAAUUUCUUAACGGUUCUGAAUCUUUAAAUUCCCUCUGCACUAUUUAGCUUCAGUUUGUGUUACUCACAUUCUUAAAGUUGCUUUGGUGUUACCAUGAAUCUAAAAUGGUUAAACCAUCUUUUUGCCUGUCCUGAGAACUUUUAUAUUAAUUUAAAAGAUUGUUUAUGAUAUUAAGUUUAAAAAAGAAACACCUGUUCUAUUUGGUGCCACCAAUAAUUCUUGUUAAGCUGAAAGUAAUAUUGAUUUUGUUACCUUGACUCAGGGAAAAGGCAUGUAAAGAAUGUGGACAUCUAAGGAAUUUUUUUCUUAAAAAGAACUUAAUAACAUUUCAAUUGCUCAAACACUAAUUUCAGUUGAGGUUUAUUAUCUAGAUACCUUUACUUUCUGUUUUUGCUGUUUGACAGCUCACCAGUGCCUUCAGCAAGUUACAGGGUAAGAUAGUUGAAACAGUGAAUGUAGAUCUCAACUUUUAAAUUAUUCUGUAAAAAUGGUAGGAGAUGAGGUUGAACUUAGAGAUUUUUGGUUGUUCAUACGCUCUGUGUUCACAUAUCAUAUGUAUCAGGUGUUGUCAUUCAGGACUCAGUCAGCCUUAGUUAACAUGCUGGAUAGAUCGUGCAGAGGACUUCUUCCACUAGGCUGCUGGGGUUUUUGUUUUUGUUUUUGUUUGUUUUAUCUAAGAACAAUCUCUGUAGAAAGCAUCAUUGAAUUGAUUAACUGCAAGUAUGAAUUACUGCUGCUUUCCUGGCCUACCUGUUAUCUUUUCUCCCAGGUUUUAUUUGAAUGAUUUUUUUAUUUGAAUACUGCAGCCAUGAAGAGUAAGCAGUUGAGAACUUCCUUUCUGCACCUUUGUAGUGAAGGGUUCAUCUUCUCAAGAAAUACAGUUGUGGAUUACUUCCAUUCUGUGAUUUCCCAGAAAUGUAGGUAUCAAGGCCCUCAGAUCACAGCAACUGCAUUGCUGGCCUUUGGAAAUGUUGGGAGGUUUACAUUCCGGUAACUGCUCAUGUCCUUCCUCUCUGUUAGAGGAGUGUUGGCCCAUAGCCAUAUUUUUCUGAAUCUAAAAACCAAAUAGCAAUUUCUGAUACCUUCUUUAGUCUUCUACUUUUCUUCCUAUAUGUAAUUUAAAUCCCACUAUUGAAUAAUAUUUCAAAUUAUGACCUUAAUUGAAGGAAGUUUGCUGUUUUGUCACACUUGAUGUUUGGUGAACAUCAGGCUCUUUACUGAAACAAAACUGAAAAAUGAAGCAGCCUUCCAAGUGCUUAGAUGAAUGCUUUUUGGAGCUCAGAAAAGCUGUUAGGUGUAUGCGAUGCACCUCUACUUACUCCUUUAAAUAAAUUUUAAGUUUUUAAGAAA